UACGAAGGGGGCUAGCGUUGCUCGGAAUCACUGGGCGUAAAGCGCACGUAGGCGGCUUUGUAAGUCAGAGGUGAAAGCCUGGAGCUCAACUCCAGAACUGCCUUUGAGACUGCAUCGCUUGAAUCCAGGAGAGGUGAGUGGAAUUCCGAGUGUAGAGGUGAAAUUCGUAGAUAUUCGGAAGAACACCAGUGGCGAAGGCGGCUCACUGGACUGGUAUUGACGCUGAGGUGCGAAAGCGUGGGGAGCAAACAGG
rnacentral:rRNA from 1 species